UACGUAGGGGGCAAGCGUUGUCCGGAAUCAUUGGGCGUAAAGCGCGUGUAGGCGGCCAGAAAAGUCCGCUGUGAAAACUCGAGGCUCAACUUCGAGCUGUCGGUGGAAACUUUCUGGCUAGAGUCCGGAAGAGGAGAAUGGAAUUCCUGGUGUAGCGGUGAAAUGCGCAGAUAUCAGGAAGAACACCCGUGGCUAAGGCGGCUCUCUAGUACGUGACUGACGCUGAGACGCGAAAGCGUGGGGAGCGAACAGG
rnacentral:rRNA from 1 species